GCAUCCUGGCGGCGAUCGGCGAACGGGUGAGUAAUACAUCCGAAGAUGUCCUGUAGUGGGGGAUAGCCCGGCGAAAGCCGGAUUAAUACCGCAUACGAUCUACGGAUGAAAGCGGGGGAUCGCAAGACCUCGCGCUAUAGGGGCGGCCGAUGGCGGAUUUGCUAGUUGGUGGGGUAAAGGCCCACCAAGGCGACGAUCCGUAGCUGGUCUGAGAGGACGACCAGCCACACUGGGACUGAGACACGGUCUUAGACUCCUACGGGAGGCAGCCCUGGGGAAUUUUGGACAAUGGGCGCAAGCCUGAUCCAGCAAUGCCGCGUGUGUGAAGAAGGCCUUCGGGUUGUAAAGCACUUUUGUCCGGAAAGAAAUCCUCUGGGUUAAUACCCCGGGGGGAUGACGGUACCGGAAGAAUAAGCACCGGCUAACUACGUGCCAGCAGCCGCGGUAAUACGUAGGGUGCGAGCGUUAAUCGGAAUUACUGGGCGUAAAGCGUGCGCAGGCGGUGAUGUAAGACCGAUGUGAAAUCCCCGGGCUUAACCUGGGAACUGCAUUGGUGACUGCAUCGCUGGAGUAUGGCAGAGGGGGGUAGAAUCCACGUGUAGCAGUGAAAUGCGUAGAGAUGUGGAGGAAUACCGAUGGCGAAGGCAGCCCCCUGGGCCAAUACUGACGCUCAUGCA
rnacentral:rRNA from 1 species